rnacentral:rRNA from 1 species
UAUUUUCCAGAAAGAGGAUAAGAACGACAGUGAGUAGCGGCUUCUGUUCGGGCGGGGGGACUGGAAUCGCUGCGUCCGUCGCCUCUUGUCUAGAGGGAGCGGUGUGUAGGUAGGUACCGCCGACACAUGAGGGUCAGGGUCCGGUUGCCGCAGCUGUACCGGCUGUAUGUUCUGGAGUGGUUGUAUUCGGUGUACGACGAGAGUGACGAAGGCAAACGAAGCGGCGGCCUCCAUCGCGUCGACCGCAAACGCGAGACCCACGACCCGAGGUGUUGGGAACAGGACCGGGACUGGUAGGAGAAGGUGGACGGCGGGCGCCCUGGGCAGAAACCGGCGACACGACGUCGGAUGAUGCGGUAAGAGCCCCAGCAGGAGGAGCAGCGGCACGGCCACCUCGACCACUGGCGCGAGACGGACGCGGUGUCGGCGCUCCCGGCGGAGGAGCGGAAGCGGAGGAUGGAGGACGGGACGCGAGUGCAUGAGGAGGAGGAGCAGUAGAGCCUUACGAUAAGAAAAUUCUGUUUUCAGUUUAGAACCUCAACGUAAAGAAGAAGUUCCUUUAAUUCGGUCACCGGAAGUAAGGAAACCGUUCGUUGAAUUAAACGGCAGAGACCUUUACAUCUGUCACGACUACAUAUCGAGUUCUACAGAGUGUCUUAUACGUCUCGUUCUGCACGAGACAAAAGAAACAAAGAACCUUUCAAUACGAGACGAAAAACAAGUCGCACUGGUGUUAAAGGUGCACCGGUCGUAACCGCGGAACAGCUUCGUCGGGAGUUGCACAUUCCGGCCGAAGGACGUCAUACCGAAGAGGGUGUGACACAACGUCUAGGACGCGAGCGAGUUGCACGAGCGGUUACUCCGCGAAGCAAUCCCCGACUUCCUCAUGAUGUUGACCGGAUGGAAGACCUCAUAAUGUAACUGUCGUUCAAGAAGACGCCCCACUGUAGUGACAGCUACAGAGUGUCUUAUACGUCCCGUUCUGCACGAGACAAAAGAAAAUGAAAACCUUUCCGCACGAGACGUGAAAACCAGUCGCGCCGGCACUAAAGGUGCACCAGUCGUAGCUGCAGAACGGCUUCGACGUGAGUUGCACAGUUCAGUCGAAGGGCGUCACGCCAAGAGGGUGCGCCGCCAAGUCUAGAACGCGAGCGAGCUGCACGAGUACUCACUCCGGUGAGACCGUCCCCGAGUCCUCAUGAGAUCGACCGGGUGGAAGGGCCUUAUAAUGUCACUGCCGCUCAAUAAGACGUCCCGGUGUAGUGCCAGCCAUACAUACGAGAAACCCAAAGGAAGAGGGUACUAAUGCCAAGUAAAAAUUCUGAGACAAACAUGUGACGUACCAUCAUACUUAACAAGAUACUCUUUAGACAAAACAGAUCGUAGUCCCGUGUCCUUAUAUAAGUAAUGAAACCGUACAAGGCUCACAGACUCCCGUUACUACCAUCUAAACCGUUUAUCUUUGUACAUCGACAAAGUCCGUUCUAUGUAGUCACAACGAACACCGAGUUUCCCAUACACCGAAACAGUUACGCAGUAUCGCCGUAGGUCAUUUAAUCAAGUCUAGAACUUUAAGUUCUCUAUUUAGUUCCCACCUCACGUCAGUCGCAGUCCUUAUAACAAGAACACCGUAAAGAUGAAGUUCCUUUACUUCGGUCACCAAUUAAUUACUAUAGAAACCGCGCGUGGAAUUAAACAAUAGAGACUUCGACAUCGGUCACGACUACAUGACGAGUUCUACAGAGUAUCUCUUAUACGUCUCGUUCUGCACGAGACAAAAAAGAUUCCAAACGUGACGUAAAACGAGUCGCGCUGGUGUUAAAGGUACACCAGUCGUAGCUGCAGAACGGCUUCGUCGCGAGUUGCACAGUCCAGCCGAAGAACGUCAUACAGAAGAGGGUGUGCCACCACGUCUAGGACGCGAGCAAGCUGCACGAGCGGUUACUCCGCGAGGCCGUCCCCGAGUACCUCAUGAGAUCGACCGGGCGGAAAGACCUCAUAAUGUAUCUACCACAGAGUGUCUUAUGCCUGUCGUUCUACACGAGACGAAAGAACUAAUUGCGCCGGUAUCAAAAGUCCACCGGACGUGACUGCAGAACGGUUUCGUCGCGAGUUGCAAAGACCGGCCGAUGAGCGUCACACCGAAGAGGGUGUACCACCACGUCCAAGACACCAGCGAGCUACACGGGAAGCUUUGCGAGUUACGCGAUCGGAUGGUCCGCGAGGUCGUCACCGAGUGGAGGGGCGUCGAGAUGUAGCUGAAAGCUCAAGAAGUCUCCCACACUGUAGUGUCAACCAUACAUAUAUACUCUAAACGAGAGACCAGAGACGGAAGGGAAGAGGGUGCUAAUACCGGGUCUUGAAACUCUGACAGACAACGUCAUGUGCGCGUACCAUCGCCUCCGUACCACGUAAGAAGAACAUGGACUUACACAGACACCGUCACAGUUUACAAAUUACCAAAUAAAGAAGUGUAAGUCACCCUAACCUCACGUGUACCGUGAGACAUGGCCACCUUAUAUACGAGAGACGGAAAGGAAGAGGGUACUAAUACCAAUGUCAAGUUUUAAACUGAGACGACAUCAUCAUGUGCGGCUACAAGCAAUACUUAACAAGGCACUCCUUGGACAACAAACGUAGUCUCGUAUGAUUAAGUAAGCUACAAGCCUACAUGAAAAUCUACUCCCGUUGCAACCAUCUAAACUGUAUACCCCGUCACAGUAACAAAGUAUCAUCAACUCAAGAAGUGUUAUUUCUCUGUUUGAUCCUAACCCAACGUGAGCAGGGAGACAACGUCACCUUGUAAAAGACGAAAGGAAACAAACAACCACUUGAAAAGAAAACCCCUACACCACUCGUGCCUCCCUUUUGUUUAAAACCUUUGAUACUAUUCGAAAAUCCUUCCACCCCUACCCUUUCUCAGCACUUGUACUAACUUGUUCCAGUCAUAGUAACUUUAGGAACUUUAAUCUCAAGUAUAAGUAAAAAGUAUAAAUACCAAAUCACGGUCACUAUACUAAUUACUUACGGUCGGAGACCCGUAUUUCGACUGAAUGAACUACGAGUAACGAGGCUGAUAGACUUUCAGGACUUGUGGUAAAAAACAAACUUCAGACUUGGUUCCUUACCACAGCGCAGUACACAUCCAAAAAGUCCUGUCCACGUCUUGAGGUUGGUGUAUCAAACUUAACAGACACUUGAUAAGUUUCAAGGAAAAAAAAAAACGCUCUUAGUAUCAAGGAAAAAAAAAACGCUCUUAGUAUCAAGGAAAAGUCUACGUGCUCAUCGUCUUCCUAGCACAAGCCUGGUACAUUAGGGGUGGUAAAAUAGGUACAACAAUGGAGUACUUAUUGACUUGGAGAGACGACGAUCAAUUGUCGGAUUGGACAGGACACAUAUGACAUGAAAUCGUUGACGAAGUAGGACCUACAAGUGGCACAGGACUCGGAGACCGGCGUAGGAGACGGCGAGGUGGAUGAGCCAGCCGUUGGAGCGGUAGAAGCUGUGGCCGUGACGGACCCGGGUGUAACGACGCCGAUAAACCCCGGCUGCUGUGACUCCACGAGUACGUGCGGGACUAGCUACACGACACCUCGACAACCUACUUACUGAACUGUCUGUACUUGCGCC